UACAGAGGUCCCGAGCGUUGUUCGAGAUUCACUGGGCGUAAAGGGUGCGUAGGUGGUUGGGUAAGUUUGAUGUGAAAGCUCAGGGCUUAACCCUGAAAUGGCAUUGAAUACUACUUAACUGGAGGUUUGGAGGGGGGACUGGAAUUCUUGGUGUAGCAGUGAAAUGCGUAGAUAUCAAGAGGAACACCAGUGGCGAAGGCGAGUCCCUGGACAACACCUGACACUGAGGCACGAAAGCUAGGGGAGCAAACAGG
rnacentral:rRNA from 1 species